ACACAGUCUCACUCUCUACUCGUCAAAUGUCUGACGCAUGGUCAAGUGAUCUGGCGUCACUUUUUUGACGCACUGGGUAUACCUUUGGCGUUAUUUUUCAACGUGCAGGUUAGUCCGAUAGACUUCUAUAGAACUCAGCAGCGUUUAAAUUUGACGUCUUGGUUCAGCACACCGCAACUACACUGAAUAAAUAAAAAUAAAUAAUAGGCUACAAAAAAAAUUAUAUAUGACAGAGAUCGUUUUUAUCUGGCCCUCCAACUUGUUUUUAAGGGUUUAAAUAUUCUCGCAAUCUGAUAUCAAAGUGAUCUCUGUGCCAAAGCUUAGCGCGUUCAUCAGUGGUGAGUUUAACAACACUCAACUGCAGGUAAAACAGCAUUCAUCGGUGAGUUUGACCAAAGCAACGCUCAACUGCAGGGAAAACGACAUAAAAAGGUGAGUUUAACAACGCUCCAAGGCGCGUGCAAGUAAGCAGUUUAACCGUUUUCUUACAACCCAUUUCGCUUAUCGCUUAUUCAUAGUUCAUCAUCUCUAUGAAAUCACGUUCAAGAAGUCUCAUUCAGCACACAUCGCGAUACUUGCCAUCAGUUUCCAUGUGCCACAGGGUCGAUGUAAAGGAAGCAGUCAUCCCUGUGGUGUUUGUGGAGAGGUUUUCCUUCAGAAAUGGAGAAGACUGAAAGCUGCGGAGGCAGACAUUUGCAGCAGAUUGUUUGCAGAUAAUGCUGUUCAAGCUCAACAGCUCUUUUAAGAGCUAACCCUCACAAACCUUCCUAAAAACUAAAAGAGCUAUUACUGAGUCUCAGCGAAUCUUGCCAUGAUCAGCUCUUCCCAGAAGAGAAGGAAGACCAAGGAAAUGAUUUGCUCAUGAGGAAUGAAGACGGCCAUCUUGAGCCCAAACAAAGACUGAAGUCCUCUGAUGAUCUCAUCAACCAAAUGAGGGGUUUUGACCAAGUGAUGCUCUUGAAAGGAGUGAAAGAAGAGGAUGUGGUAAAUUGUCUUCAGAGAAAAACCUUCUCAAAAGGUCUCAAAACAGCUUGAAGAAUGGU